rnacentral:rRNA from 1 species
UACGUAGGUGGCAAGCGUUGUCCGGAUUUACUGGGCGUAAAGAGCGCGCAGGCGGUCGUUCAAGUCGCGUGUGAAAGCCCCCGGCUCAACUGGGGAGGGUCACGCGAUACUGAUCGACUGGAAGGCAGGAGAGGGUAGUGGAAUUCCCGGUGUAGUGGUGAAAUGCGUAGAUAUCGGGAGGAACACCAGUGGCGAAGGCGACUACCUGGACAUGUAUUGACGCUGAGGUGCGAAAGCGUGGGGAGCAAACAGG